rnacentral:rRNA from 1 species
AGUGAACGCUGGCGGUAGGCCUAACACAUGCAAGUCGAACGGCAGCACAGUAAGAGCUUGCUCUUACGGGUGGCGAGUGGCGGACGGGUGAGGAAUACAUCGGAAUCUACUUUUUCGUGGGGGAUAACGUAGGGAAACUUACGCUAAUACCGCAUACGACCUACGGGUGAAAGCAGGGGAUCUUCGGACCUUGCGCGAUUGAAUGAGCCCAUGUCGGAUUAGCUAGUUGGCGGGGUAAAGGCCCACCAAGGCGACGAUCCGUAGCUGGUCUGAGAGGAUGAUCAGCCACACUGGAACUGAGACACGGUCCCGACUCCUACGGGAGGCAGCAGUGGGGAAUAUUGGACAAUGGGCGCAAGCCUGAUCCAGCCAUACCGCGUGGGUGAAGAAGGCCUUCGGGUUGUAAAGCCCUUUUGUUGGGAAAGAAAAGCAGCAGGUUAAUACCCCGCUGUUCUGACGGUACCCAAAGAAUAAGCACCGGCUAACUUCGUG